UGACUAAUUAAAAAUUUUUUUUAAAAAAGUAAGUGAUGAUUUGAUAUGUAGGACAUUACCUGAUGAUGGACCCAUUAAAUAUACAUUAUUUCCCAGAAAGUAUCAUUCUAGGCAUCAACUAAAAUGGACCAGAACAAAUAACUUCCGAAGAAGCGUGAUGAGGAAUUGCUGCUCCAGUUUGGAAAGCCUAGAUUGGCUGUGUUGAGUACAGGUCUCUGAAGCCGCUGAAAAUGAGCCCAUGAUAAGGAAGGACAGCUGUGUUUGGAAACCCGAAUUUGCAGAGCUUAAUAACAGACCUAUGACCUCUACUUGUGACUGAACUUCCAGAUGGUGCUGUGGAAAAGCUGGUGCUCCAGGAUCUCCUAGAGCUCUCCCAAGGCCUGACGAAGGAUGCUGCUCCUUUCUGGAGUCCUGGUUUAGUGGAAGAUAGUUCACGGUCCAGAAACAUGUGGCCCUCUAACCUCAGAAUUCUCCAGAGGUUUUUGAAUCUACUCUUGCACAAAGAGAAUUUUGGAUCUUCUUGUGAAAUAUGGUUACUCGCUAACUAGCAACACCUGGCCAAGUACUCACUGUUGAUGUCAUGAAACCAGUUUCAUACAGGUACAUAUUUUAAAGCUUUUGAUUAUAAAUAAGUAAGAAAAUAAAAAGGUGUAA